GUGCCAGCCGCCGCGGUAAUACGGAGGAUCCGAGCGUUAUCCGGAUUUAUUGGGUUUAAAGGGUGCGCAGGCGGAAGAUUAAGUCGGUGGUGAAAUUUUGCAGCUCAACUGUAAAAGUGCCAUUGAUACUGGUUUUCUUGAGUGUGGAUGAAGUAGGCGGAAUUUGUGGUGUAGCGGUGAAAUGCAUAGAUAUCACGAGGAACUCCGAUUGCGCAGGCAGCUUACUAAACCAUAACUGACGCUCAGGCACGAAGGCGUGGGGAUCAAACAGGAUUAGAAACCCUGGUAGUCC
rnacentral:rRNA from 1 species